rnacentral:rRNA from 1 species
CCUACGGGAGGCAGCAGUGGGGAAUAUUGGGCAAUGGAGGAAACUCUGACCCAGCAACGCCGCGUGAAUGAUGAAGGUCUUCGGAUUGUAAAGUUCUUUUCUUAGGGAAGAAGAAAGUGACGGUACCUUAGGAAUAAGACUCGGCUAACUACGUGCCAGCAGCCGCGGUAAUACGUAGGAGGCAAGCGUUAUCCGGAAUGACUGGGCGUAAAGGGUGCGUAGGUGGUUUGACAAGUUGGUAGCGUAACUCCGAGGCUUAACCUCGGCACUACUACCAAAACUGUUGGACUCGAGUGCAGGAGGGGCAAAUGGAAUUCCUAGUGUAGCGGUGGAAUGCGUAGAUAUUAGGAGGAACACCAGUGGCGAAGGCGAUUUGCUGGACUGUAACUGACACUGAGGCACGAAAGCGUGGGGAGCAAACAGGAUUAGAUACCCCUGUAGUC